AGCGAACGCUGGCGGCAGGCCUAACACAUGCAAGUCGAACGAACUCUUCGGAGUUAGUGGCGGACGGGUGAGUAACACGUGGGAACGUGCCUUUAGGUUCGGAAUAACUCAGGGAAACUUGUGCUAAUACCGAAUGUGCCCUUCGGGGAAAGAUUUAUCGCCUUUAGAGCGGCCCGCGUCUGAUUAGCUAGUUGGUUGGGGUAAUGGCCCACCAAGGCGACGAUCAGUAGCUGGUCUGAGAGGAUGACCAGCCACAUUGGGACUGAGACACGGCCCAAACUCCUACGGGAGGCAGCAGUGGGGAAUCUUGCGCAAUGGGCGAAAGCCUGACGCAGCCAUGCCGCGUGUAUGAUGAAGGUCUUAGGAUUGUAAAAUACUUUCACCGGUGAAGAUAAUGACUGUAGCCGGAGAAGAAGCCCCGGCUAACUUCGUGCCAGCAGCCGCAGUAACAC
rnacentral:rRNA from 1 species